rnacentral:rRNA from 1 species
UACGUAGGGUGCAAGCGUUAAUCGGAAUUACUGGUCGUAAAGCGUGCGCAGGCGGUUUUGUAAGUCAGAUGUGAAAUCCCCGGGCUUAACCUGGGAACUGCGUUUGAAACUACAAGGCUAGAGUGUGGCAGAGGGGGGUGGAAUUCCACGUGUAGCAGUGAAAUGCGUAGAGAUGUGGAGGAACACCGAUGGCGAAGGCAGCCCCCUGGGUUAACACUGACGCUCAGGCACGAAAGCGUGGGGAGCAAACAGG